AAUCUACCCUCUUUCAGUUUAAAGCCAUUUUCCCUUGCCCUGUUCCUACCUGCCCUUAUAAAAUAUAUCCCAUUGUCAACUCUGAAAAAUUAUUAAAAAUUCCUGAAAUUUUGGAUGUAGUGUUUAUUUAGUUUCUCUGCUGGGUUCUUGCUCCCAUCCUCACACAUCCACAGUCUGUUUGUGAGCCUGACACAGAGUGGUGCACUCUUUUCAUUUUGCUGAGGGUAGAACAGAGAACUAUAGCACUGUGUGCUGCAUGUGAGGGCAUCUCCCCCACUCAGCUACAGCCUCUGCCUUCUCCUCACCAUCACUCAUAGCAGCAGCUCAACACAACCACAGUCCAUGGGGUGAAUUUUGAAGUGCACUCUGAUUUAAUAGGUACUCAUGUUGUCUCCUCUGCUGCUUUCAGCAACACUCAUCCUGCUGCUUUCAUGUGUGUAUCAGCCACAAUAGGAAGGAGACAAGACCUAUUCUCCCAGUUCCUCUCCCAGCAAGUCUUAGUCCCACUCUCCUUCUCAUCCUAUUAAAGCAGACGGAUAACCCUGCACUGACUCCCUGAAUAUAAAAGUAGUGGCACAGAUAUAUACAAGUUUCUCUACUCUGAUUCUUAGAUGAGAAUUCAACCAAAUCCAUUUACAGUACUAUCCUAGUCCUUCACAGAGUUGGUUACUUUCUUUUUUUUUUUCCCCCACAAAGAAUUGUCAGACUAUUUUGUAGAGAUGUAUGGGCCAUUAACCUCACUUUCCAUAACCCAAACUGAUGGAAUUUGUCUGAAAUCACUACCUAAGUCAGCUGAAGAUCUGCCUUUUUGCUCUCGAUGGGAAAAAUUAACCUUGAGUCAGCUAUCAAACUCAAACUGGUUUUAAUGAAGAUGAAUGGAAGCAUUAAACUUUUCCAAUGCAUUUAAGUAUGUUAGCUGUAUGUCUCAAAAGUAAACUUCCACCUGGGAAAUGGCUGCAUGCAAAAAAGGGCAAGAAGAUUCCUCUCUGUCUUCUCCAUCAGGAAAUGAAGACCACCUACAUAAAAGACCUACUCAGAUUCAAAGUACAUCACAGAGAAAUUACUUAUGAUCAAAAUACAUGAUAUUCUUUCUAUUUGCAGUUGAUAAAUGUAAUGAUCACCUCAUGUUUCACUUCUGUCUUUCCCUUCUAACACUAGGUGCAAAGCACAGUGUGAAUAAUUUCUCUUAUGAUUUUCACAUACAGCUAUCUAAAUUCUGCUUUCUGAACUGUGCCUGCGCCUGUUCCCAUCAGCACAGUGAAGAACAGGAUUUGACAUCCCUUGCCCCUUUGAAACUUAAUCAGGGAUUUCAGAAUUAUAUGCAGAUCUGCCAAAUCACUUCCCUGCUGAAAAAUGCAACCAGCCAGUGACUGCUCCCCCACAGUCCCUGUGCCCCAUCUCCUCUGUGCUGCAGGUCUGUGCCUGGGACUGAGGAUGGACAUUGCAGUCUCUCUGGUGUAGUGGUGCAUGAGGCAGGUUUGUGUCUGCUGGGAGUUAGAGAGGAGAUUUGCCUCCUCCUCUGAGGAUUACAUGUUGCCUCACUGUGUCAAGCCACUGUGGCUGUGAAGUGUAUUUAUUUAGGCUGGGGCAGAAGAAGAAGAGUGGGCAGGAAGCCUUUAAAAUCACACUGUACACCACUCCCUUCCAAGAGAGAAGAAAGGCACGUAUAACACACAUAUACCUGUGUCUGUUCCUACCCUUCCCCAAGCAGUAAUUAAUUUAAAUCAGGGCUGAAAGCUGAGUGAAAUAAGAUUUCUAUGAACUGUGCCAAAGAUGCUCCUAACAGAUGCCUGCUGUAUUUGUAUAAUCAUUUAAACAAAAUGUCAUAGGAAAUCAAAUUAAGAUCAGAUUGAUUCCAUCAGUGCCUAACAUAGUCUGCUGGUUAUCACAGAUUAUCACAAACCCAGCACUGAUGACUGUAAAUAAUAGGGACUAAUACUGUCAGAACAGAUCAUACCUCUGCCAUUUAAUGACAUGGAGCUGUUUCACAACUGUAGAAAAUAACAGGAAUUUGAGAGAGUGUUUAAUAUGUUGAAAUGCAUUUAUUUCUUUUUAGCCAGUUUCUUAAGCACACAGCUGCAAGGAAACUACUAGUCUGAAAGAGGAGAGAGAUACUGACACUCCCCGUCAUCUCAUUCUCAACUGAAAGGCAGCCCAUGACUUAGCAGCACAAGCAGAAGAGAAUUGCUGCCAUAGAUGAAGAGCCAUGCCUGUCUGGGGUCAGGUAGCUUCUGCCCCAGCAGGACUGAGGAGAGGGGAAAGAGCAGCAAGCCAUUGUGACUUCUGUUUUCUCCUUCCGCCAUGCUUAAGGAGGAAAAGAGGGAAGAAAGAGAGGAAAGUAUUUCCUCAGGGAGAUCACUGGCAGCUUCUGCCUGCACCAAGCAUCUCACUACAGCAACUGCAGCAGGGCUCUUCCUUUCCCAGUAUAGACAGACAACAAGAGGGCACUUUCUCUCCUAAGGGAGUAUUCUACAGUAGGCAAUUUACUUAUGCCCCAAUGCAUUAUUGUAUUUCUCCAAAAAUAUGUUUUUUCUUUUAUUUUUUUUUUCCCCUAGAGAAUUCUAUCUGUAUUUUACUAUUCUGUCAUUCCAUUGCUAUUCAAGAGUUGCUCUUGAAUACAGCCUUUAAACAGAUACUGGAAGAGAAGACUUGAUUGUUUCACUGUGAGUAGGAUGGGUUACAUGAAAUUGUUACUCCACGGGGAGGUUUAACUCUUGUCACUAUACAGCAAAGAACCAUUAUGGGUCAAAUAAAGACCAUAUGCAUCUUUAAAAACAUUGUUUUGCAAGCCUUGGAUAAUAGAAUGUUUCAUAUUUUAUUUUGGGGUCAUUAUAGUUUAUUUACUUAGCAGUAGAUCUAGGAUGUGGGUAUUUUUGGAAAGGCAUUCAUCUGGAGCAACAGCCUCAUACUGAACAUGACUGAUGUUGUAUAGAAAAAUUUAAGUCAUUUCUAAUGUAGAAGUAGACCCCUUAUUUGUACUGAUUUUUGCACAUUGAUUUAGCAUAGGUGGGACUUUUCUUUUAUCUGGUUUGUGCUGGUGUACUUGCCUUUUGGAGCUGCAAGCUUCUUGGGGCAGGAGGUGAAUUCACAGACAUGCCUUGUACAUCUCAGGCUCAUAAGCAUCAGAUGAAAAUUGACAAGAGGAAUGGACUUCUUCUGAUCCAGCUUGUUGCAGAAGCUGAUCUUUAAGACCUACUCUAGUCCAUUUUGCCUACAGACUUGCCUGUUGAGUGACAGGCAAGUAGAGUGCUAUUGUAUGUAAAGGGAAACACUGUCAAGAAAACAAAUUGCUAGUAGAUGGAAUUUGAUCUUUUCCGGGGAAAGCUGUUAACUAAAGCAAUCCUAUUUAUUUAUUUAUUUAUUUAUCACAGUUCUACAAUAGGUGCUAAUGUUCAUUAGGACAAUAAAGUUGUCACAUUGGAUUAUGGCAGUAAAAGAAUACAGAUACCCACAGAGCCAAAACCAAACCUCAGAAUGUUUUAAUUCAUUAGCUCAACAACUCCAUGCUUUUGGAAAUAUGGAAUAUGGGAAAUUAGGGCGGGGAACGGAGUCUUAUGAGAGAGUGGAAGCUACAGAAAUCUGAACAAAUACAAAUAUCAUUUAUAGGCAAAAAAAACCAAACAAACCUGUGUUCAUUGCCAGAUAUUAAAUCUUGUUUAUCCUUCCUUAAGCUAACCAGAAACACAUUGUGUUCAAGUACUAUGUAACAACUGAGAUGCUGUGGUUGUGCUGUAACUCUUCUUUGCUGCUUUUAUCUUCUCUAAAUUGGGAGCGUGACUGCCAGGCUCGAAGACUCGCUCCCCUCUGAUCCAGCUCUUCUGUUUGGGAAGACCAACGCUGUCCUGCUCACUGUCUCCCCUCCGGAAAGCAUCAACAUUUGGGCUCACGGACUCACGGUGCGGGACCAAUGAACAUCUCUGAAUGAAUAUGUUGUAGGAGUUUUUCUGCUCUGGCUGUAGGACUCUUUGUUAGAAGACUGUGAGCCCUUCUGUACAAUAUCUGACUCCUCUUUAUACCACAGACAUCUAUGUCAAGAGCAAAGAAUGCACCUCACUGUGGAUGGAUCUGCAUAUUUUCUGCUUCCUGUUGUACACUUACCUGUACAAAUUUUCUUGAAUUACAGGAGAAAACUGCAGGUGCAGGGGUCCUUUUGGAUGCCACCCGCUCUCUGGUGCAGGUCCCAAAGGCAAUGAUUUCAUCCAGAGUGACCUUUGAAGAGCAGAUGGAGAAAGGGCUAUUUGCUUAGAGGUUGACUGCCCAUCCCGUCUUCUCCAAGCAAGAUUCAUCUGAGACCUUAAAAAUUAUUGAGAAAACUUCAAAACAAAACAAAAAACAAAACAAAC